UCUGAGCUGAGAGGCUUUUAAGCGCGUGUAUCGGAGAGGGAAACUGCCGUUGCGCAUAUACAAAGCCGAAAGACGGCUUUGGAGAUAGAUUAUUUCAAGCGUACAUAGAUUGCAUUGCACUUUCGUCAAUCCUGCUUGGAAACCAGGCAAGACAUAGCAUAACUAAAUGGUCUUGGGACGAAGGGACGAACAAACGGAGGAGGUAUAAAAGAUUCCAUCCGGCCAACGUUUAAUUUGGAUAAUUAAGCACAGCAAGUCGGUAAGGGUGACCGAUCCCAAUGAAUCCACGGAUGGCGAUGUUCUUAAGGUGGUGGAUCGCACAUGGAGCGCAUUGCCUCAUCCUGUCACAGUUUCUUGCGUCAGCCAAGCUUUGGCUGCUAAGGCGCAGACACAGCUUCCACGAGGAGAGGAAGACGGAUGCUGAUGGUUAACUGCUAAUAACCAGAAAGGAAGCUUAAGAAGGGAAUUUACCUGAUGCCGAUCCGCAAUAAGUCGAGAAGCCGCUCUGGUGCGCUGAGAUGCGUGUAAGCUCACCCAGUUCAGAUGCUGAUGUCGUUUGGAUGUGUAGGAUGCUUCCGUAUGUUUGGUUGAUUAGUCUGUCUCGCGAAAGCGAGGUGUUUCUCUUUUUUUCCUGUUCUUUGCAGGUUUUUGGACGGUAACGUUGCAGCUAAUAGGUGUGCUCUGUAGCCUAAACAGCAGUGGAGAAAGUAUCUUUCAGAAGGAAAGUGGAGCCUCUCAGGAGGUGGAAGGAGAGGCUUCUGUGGAUUCCACAGAGCAUCUACAAGUUCAUGGCUCAUGAGCUAGGAUCAGGAGGACUGUUGCUCGCUGGCCAUGCCUCGGCCGCGCCAGAAGGUGGGGCGUGGUAUGUUACAACAUAAAUGCUCCAAUGUGAAGGCCGCUUUAAAAGGUGGCGAGCGGAGAAACCCGUGAACUCGUCGCCACCAUGGUGAUGAAUGGCUUGGAUCUCUAUAUCUCCGGAGACAUCAGCCUGAUCAAUCUGCUCAACUCAAAACAAAACAGGGCCAGGAUGGUGUCGCGCAGAUCUACGGUCCACAAGUCCACUGGCAGCUCCUCGUGAGCUGACUGCCUCAGCCGCUCCAGCGCCUGUUUCGCUCGGAUUAGCUGCUCCUUCUGCCUCUGGAGAACGAAGAAAGCGCACAGUAAGAAAAAAAGUGUUGCUGGCCAGCCGAGAAGACGUCACCCCCGGCAGCAAUCAAGGCGGCUAGAGCCGUGUCUAGCUUGUCGAUGUCGAGCGCCUCUUUGACGGCACACGUGGAGACCACGGCCGAGAACGCUGCUCUCACGUCUUCCGGAUCCAAGGCUUCUCGCGAAGAGCCUGAAAAGAAGGAAGUUCCGGACUGAUUGAAUUAAGAAAUGGGUUGAGACGAAGAAAAAAAAAAACCUGUUGUAGAGUAUGAUCAAAG